UCCAUGAUAGCUCAGUUGGUUGGUAAAGAAUCUGCCUGCAAUGCAGGAGACCCUGGUUUGAUUCCUGGGUCUGGAA
rnacentral:tRNA from 1 species